UUAGAAGGACAGGACUCGAACCCGCACCUAGAAGCUCAAAACCUCCAGCACUCCAUUAUACUACCGUCUA
rnacentral:tRNA from 1 species